CAAUCAGUCCGAGCCCUUUUUAGGGUGAGGGCGUACCUUUUGUAUAAUGGGUCAGUGACUUAAUUUAUUAAGCAAGCUUAAGCCAUCUAGGUGUAGGCGCAGCGAAAGCAAGUCUUAAUAGGGCGAUUAGUUUAAUGAAUUAGACCCGAAAACGAAUGAGCUUACCAUGAGCAGGUUGAAAGUUGGGUAACACCAACCGGAGGACCGAACCAGUUGACGUUGAAAAGUCUUUGGAUGACUUGUGGUAAGGGGUGAAAGGCCAACCAAAUUCGUAGAUAGCUGGUUUUCCGCGAAAACUAUUUAGGUAGUGCGUCGAAUAAAUAGAUGUUUAGAGGUAGAGCACUAAAUGGGCUAGGGGGAAGAGAUUCUUACCAAACCUAAUAAAACUCCGAAUGCUAGACAUGUUCUUCGGCAGACAGACUGUGGGUGCUAAGGUCCAUGGUCGAGAGGGAAAGAGCCCAGACCACCAGAUAAGGUCCCAAAAUCAUGAUUAAGUGUGAAAGGAUGUGGAAAUUCCUUAACAGCCGGGAGGUUGGCUUAGAAGCAGCCAUCCUUUAAAGAUAGCGUAACAGCUCACCGGUCUAAUAGAGUUUCUGCGCCGAAGAUGUAACGGGGCUAAAAUCAUGUACCGAAUCUGUGGCUUUGCAAAGUUUUCGAACUUUGCAAGGGGUAGCGGAACGUUCUGUAAGCCUGUGAAGGGAUACCCGUGAGGGAUCCUGGAGGUAUCAGAAGUGCGAAUGCUGACAUAAGUAACGAUAAACGAAGUGAAAAACUUCGUCGCCGAAAAUCUAAGGGUUUCUAUGCAAGGUUAAUCCGCGUAGAGUUAGUCGGCACCUAAGGCGAGGGCGAAAGCCGUAGUCGAUGGAAACAAGGUUAAUAUUCCUUGACCUGAUGGUAGUGACGGAUUUCGUAAGUUGUGAGUUCUUAAUGGAUUGAACUUGCCGCGAAGAGGUCCCAAGAAAUAGCUCCAUCAUGAAGACCGUACCCGAAACCGACACAGGUAGAUUAAUAGAGUAUAUUUAGGCGCUUGAGAGAAUGAUGUUGAAGGAACUCGGCAAAAUGCUUCCGUAACUUCGGGAUAAGGAAGACCCUUUUGUAGGCAACUAUGGAAGGGUGGCACAAGCCAGGGAGAAGCGACUGUUUAUCAAAAACACAGGGCUCUGCUAACACGUAAGUGGAUGUAUAGGGUCUGACGCCUGCCCGGUGCUGGAAGGUUAAUGCGGUUGGUGCAAGCUAACUUCUGAAGCCCCAGUAAACGGCGGCCGUAACUAUAACGGUCCUAAGGUAGCGAAAUUCCUUGUCGGGUAAGUUCCGACCUGCAUGAAUGGCGUAACGAUUUCUCCGCUGUCUCCAACAUCAACUCAGUGAAAUUG
rnacentral:rRNA from 1 species